rnacentral:rRNA from 1 species
AUUGAACGCUGGCGGCAGGCCUAACACAUGCAAGUCGAGCGAGCGGCGGACGGGUGAGUAAUGUUUGGGAAACUGCCUGAUGGAGGGGGAUAACUUCUGGAAACGGUAGCUAAUACCGCAUACCAUCAGAAGUGACCAGAUGGGAUUAGCUAGUAGGUGGGGUAACGGCUCACCUAGGCGACGAUCCCUAGCCUGUCUGAGAGGAUGACCAUCCACACGGGAACUGAUGUACGGUCCAGACUCCAACGGGAGGCAGCAGUGGGGAAAAUUGCACAAGGGGCGCAAGCCUGAUGCAGCCAUACCGCGUGUGUGAAGAAGGCCUUCGGUUUGUAAAGCACUUUCAGCGGGGAGGCGUUACCCGCAGAAGAAGCACCGGCUAACUCCGUGCCAGCAGCCGCGGUAAUAC